ACUUCUAUUCCGGAGAGGGGGCCUGAGAAAUGGCCACCACUUCCAAGGAAGGCAGCAGGCGCGCAAAUUACCCAAUCUCAAUUCGAGGAGGUAGUGACAAGAAAUACCGUUGAAGGACACUACGUGUACUUCAUUCGGAAUGAGAACAAUUUAAACACCUUAACGAGGAUCAAUUGGAGGGCAAGUCUGGUGCCAGCAGCCGCGGUAAUUCCAGCUCCAAUAGUGUAUAUUAUUGUUGCUGUAGUUAAAAAGCUCGUAGUUGGAUUUCGAAAUGCGACUGUCAAAGCCCGUCCAAGUGGCGUGGCUCGACUGGUUGCUUUCUGUCUUUGGGUAAUGGGCGUAGCUUCGGUUGCGUUUUCCGUUCCUAAUUGUUUACUUUGAAAAAAUUAGCGCGUUCAAAGCAGGUGUAACUUUGCCUUGAAUAGUUUAGCAUGGGAUAAUAGAAUAGGACCACCGGCCUUAUUUUAUUGGUUUCUAAAGCUGGGGUAAUGAUUAAUAGGGACAGUUGGGGUCGGUCGUAUUGAAUCGUCAGAGGUGAAAUUCUAUGAUUGAUUCAAGACGAACUGGUGCGAAAGCGUCCGACAAGGAUGUUUCCGUUAAUCAAGAACGAAAGUUGGGGGAUCGAAGAUGAUCAGAUACCGUCGUAGUCCUAACCAUAAACUAUGUGGACCAAGGAUCCGAGGAUGUUCCAUGGAUGACUCUCCGGGCACUUUGUGAGAAAUCAGAGUAUUUGCAUUCCGGGGGGAGUAUGGCCGCAAGACUGAAACUUAAAGGAAUUGACGGAAGGGCACCACCAGGAGUGGAAUCUGCGGCUUAAUUUGACCCAACACGGGGAAACUCACCAGGUCCGGACACAGUAAGGAUUGACAGAUUGAGAGCUCUUUCUUGAUUCUGUGGGUGGUGGUGCAUGGCCGUUUUUAGUUGGUGGAUUGAUUUGUCUUGUUAAUUCAGAUAACGAGCGAGACCUCAUCCUGCUAAUUAGUGAUGUGAAUUUGGUUUCCUUUCGGGGAUUCCUAUCUGAUUCGUAGACUACUUCUUAGAGGGACUCUCGGCAUUUUUAGCCGAUGGAAGUUUGAGGCAAAAACAGGUCUGUGAUCCCCUUAGAUGUCCUGGGCUGCACGCGCGUUACACUGGCUAUUGCAACGAGUGAUUUCCUUCCUCGAAGGGGGUGGGUAAACUUUUUAACGAUAGCCGUGAUUGGGAUUGAACCUUGCAAUUAUUGUUCAUGAACGAGGAAUUCCUAGUAAGCGCGGUUCAUCAAACCGCGCUGAUUACGUCCCUGCCCUUUGUACACACCGCCCGUCGCUUGUACCGAUUGAAUGAUCCGGUGAGGACCUGGGAUUGUUAGUGUCUUAUCUUUUCGCAAGAGAAGGUCUGGCUAAUGAAAGCUAGUUCAAAUCAUAUCAUUUAGAGGAACAAGAAGUCGUAACAAGGUU
rnacentral:rRNA from 1 species